UCUUUUCAUCGAGAAGGUUGAGGCUCAGGGCCAUUAGCUCAUCAUUUUCUUCCUGAGAGAGAGGUUCUGAUAAGGUCAUUUACAUGCACCUCCGUUGGUAUAAUAGCCUCUGUGCCGUAGACCAAUGAGUAGGGAGUUUCCUAUGUGGCCAUUUUGGACGUGGUACUAUAAGCCCACAUAACUCUGUGUAAUUCUUCUACCCAUCUCCCAUGAGCAUCUUCCAGGCAUUUGUUUAUCAUGUUUACCACCGUCUUGCUGGUAGAUUCCGCUUGUUCAUUGGACUGAGGAUAUCUUGGUGUGGCGAAGGUAAGCUUUAUGCCCUAGUUCUUUCAAAUAUCUUUGAAGUUAUGGCUCGUAACUGGGGUCCAUUAUCGGUAAUGAUCUCUUGCGGGACCCCAAAGCGGGUGAUCACGUUAGUCCACAUGAAUUUUUGGAUGUGGAGAUCAGUUAUCUUGCUCAAUGCUUCGGCUUCCACCCAUUUGGAGAAGUAGUCGGUAACUAUCAGGAGGAUGACUUUUUGCCCCGGAGCUAUUGGGAAUUUUUCUACUAUAUCCAUGCCCCCAUUUCCUGAAAGGCCAGGGAGAGCUCACAGAGUUGAGGUAUUCUGGGGGAAGCUUGGAAACCGGAGCAUGCCUUUGGCACGAUAUCUGGCAUGUUUGUUGCGUCUUCCGCCAUGGUGGGCCAAUAGUAGCCACUCUUCUGGCUCUUAAUACCAGGCUUCGGCCGCUCGAAUGAGAACCGCACUCUCCCUCAUGCAAUUCUUCGAGUAUUAUGGCGGCCUCUCCCGGUGUGAUGCAUCGCAGGUAACGGCCGGAGAAGGAUCUUCUGAACAAUUUCUCCUGGGAAAUACAAUAUAUCUUGCUGUGUGCUUCUUGAUCCUUCUCUUUUCAUUGUGAUCCUCAAGGAGGAUAUCUGUUUCCAGGUAUUUGACUAUUUGGGUCAUCCAAGUUACUCCUUCUGUGAUGGCCAAAAUUUCCUCAGGCUCCACUUCUUUCUCCGUUGCUGGACACUAAAGCACCAGCAUGGGAAUACUCAUCUGGCUUUUAGUUUCGAGGGCAGACCCUAGAUUAGCCACAUGGUCGGCCUGGGAAUUCUGCUCACUGGGGAUAUGUGUAAGCUUACAGCUUUGAAAACUUUUGACUAGGCACUUGGCGAUCGACAUGUAUUUGAUCAUACUAGCAUCCUUGGCCUGAUAUUCUCCCUGCACCUGGCUGAUUAUUAGUUGUGAGUCGCUGAAGACCUGGAUGUUCUCGGCCCCCCAUUUGUUUGGCGAGCGUUAGACAAGACUCAUAUUCGCUUUCGUUGUUGGUUGCCUUGAAAUUGCAUCUUCCGGCCCUCGAGGUUGUAUUCCAUGCAGUGGAGGUGAGUACUAUUAAAACUCCUGCUCCUCUGAUAUUAUUGUAUCCGUCUACAUGUAGAAUCCAUUCUCCAGUCUUUCCUCCCUCAUUUCGGAGGUUGAUCUCCUGUUCUAGGGCUGGAAGCAUAGUGGGAGAAAAUUCCACUACGAAGUCUGCUAGGACCUGUGAUUUGAUAGCCGUAGCUGGCCUAAACACUAAAUCAUAUUCUCCCAGUUCCAUUGCCCAUUUGGCCAGACGUCCUGACACUUCGGGUUUGUGGAGGACUGUUUUUAUAGGGAACGACGUUACAACUACAAUUUUAUGAGCCUGGAAGUGUUAGGGUAUAUUUGUGUAGGAUCUUUGUGAGUACUCCAGAAGCAGGAAGAUGAGCAAGAAUAGAGAGUAAAGAGAUGUUUUAUUGAUUGAAUGAGCAAGAACUACAACGUUUUGGUGUAUAAACCCUAGUUCUAGCCGUCUAGCUAUAAUUAGUCUCUGAAUGUCGAUCCCUUAUUCUAGGGUAUGAGGUCCCCUUAUGUAGUCACAUAGACGUCGGUUAGGUAGGUUAAACACUUUCAUAUUCAUAAAUAAGGAAGAAUCCCUUUAAUUAGAAAACUUCCAUUUUACCCGGAGGCAGGGAUGGUAGCAGGGGUCGAAACCAGGGUUCCUCUCAGCAGGAACAUGGAGGUCGGUGUUCUGCCCGAGGCCUGGAGGAUUUUUAUACAUGAGUAUUUUUUCCCUACAGUUUUCUCCUUAUUUCUCGAUUUCGUCAUAGUUGUCGGGGAAUAACAUGUACACUUGAGUCAAUCGGAGUUUCUCUAUCUCAGCAGGCACCCUUGGCAGGACAUCGCUCCAGUGAUUCUUUUUUUUUUCCACUUAGGCCCGAACCGUGUUUGAACCUGGAGUAGAGUUGAUUUCCCUGAGGUAGACUGGAGUCUAGUAGGUGUUCCCAGGUUCUGGACCUGUCUGAAAGUGAUCUAGCAAGGUUCGAGACCCUGGUUUUGCAUUUCAGUGGAUGGCAAGACUUAUAUGCAGAACUCCUGGCCUUAGGCAGGAUGUUUGAUCCUUCAGUGAGCAUCAUUAUUUGUACGCUUGUCGGCAUGGUGCUUGGACCCGGUGCAUGACUCUGAUUCCUUGAGUUUUAGAGAAUUUCGUUGAUCGAAUCGGCCUUGGUAUCUCAGAUUCCCUUUUCUUAUUUGUAGGUGAAUCGGAUCCGAUCUGAUUUUUGAGAAAUGAAUUCGUUUUGAAUUUCAAAAUCCCCCCCCCAUUUCUCAAAUUUGGGAUCGAAGCCAUCGGUUUCUCCGAGAAGGCAAAAACGAUUUCUCUUUUAAAUUUCCCUUUUUUCUUCUUAUUUCUAAGCUGCACAUCUUGGCAUCCGCACCCCAUCUUCAGGAAACAGUAUAUUAAUGUCGAAGCGUUCUAGAUUUUCUAUUCCCUUGGCGGCCGAGAAGGCCAGGAGAUCAGUUGAUCUUCGGAAUGGUUAAGACAACUUUCUUGUCAACCUCCUCCUGAACUGGUUCAAGAUACCUAUCCAUGAUCACAUCACUCCAUAACCACUUGCGCAUCAGUCAUGUUAUCAUUGUCAUCUUUGACCUAAAUUAUUUCCCGAGCAAUAGCUUCACAUCAUUUUGCAGCUUGAUGUUGUAGUGAGUUGGCCAAGUCCAAUUCAAGAUCAACCCCAUGCAGCACCAUCAUCUCUUGUUCAUUAAAGAUUUCUUCAGGACGGUUUUGCUACAUCUCAUCCUUCUUCCAACAACAAACCCUGCAAAAUGUUCCAAAUCUUUUGUUAAUAACGUAAAAACAUGUAAAAUAGUAGAGACUAAUAAUAGUAAAUAUGUCAACACAAGCCAAGAAUGUAUGAUUAAUUUCAUAUUCUCUCAUAGCAUACUCAUCUUGACUUCUGUCAACAAAAAACCGCUCCUUCCCACCACGAAGUUGUCUCUCCAGUUGAAAUGGUACCUAUCAACGUUAUGAGCUCCGAUGGUGUUAACAAGGACGAGCUCAGUGAACCACUGUCUUACACUCAUCAUGACAGGUAUGUCAUGUUAUGCUUAUCGGUAGAGAUCAUGUUCCAAGUGGGCCAAGGAUCCAUGCCGGAACCUGCUAAGAUAGAACAACCAGAGUCCGUUCUCCCAACACGUACCUCAUCCUUACUAUGCUCAUCAAAGGCUCGAACGUCUCCUUGUCUCUGGUUAUCUCUCCAAAGCCAAAGUAUGUAGGAUCAAGGUGGAAAUUCCCGGCGCCAUUAUUUUCCUUGUUCCAUACACCACGCCACAGUCUUACAAGCUUCCCAUCUGAAUUUUUUUUUUUAUAACUACGGUGUAUAGACAAGAUUAAUGAUCGCAUGCAAGACAAAAUUUUCAGGACAUUUAAUUUAAACUCAACAAAGAGAAUGUCGCAACACUGGAAACAUUAUCGGCUUUAAACAAUAUACGACAUAAAUGCUAGUUAUAACUCACGUGACGCUUAUUCUGAAGCGAAAAGGCUAGAGAGAUUUCUAAAAAGUCAUUUU